rnacentral:ncRNA from 2 species
UGUUCAAUGGUUAUGCGGUGAAGUCCGGUGAAAUUCCGGCAUAGUCGCGCUACGGUCAUAGUCCGAUCCCGCAUAUAUG